UGUGUAGGUGGUGUCGUAAGUUUGGUGUGAAAUCUCCCGGCUUAACUGGGAGGGUGCGCCGAAGACUGCGAUGCUGGAGUAUGGGAGAGGAAAGCGGAAUUCCUGGUGUAGCGGUGAAAUGCGUAGAUAUCAGGAGGAACACCUGCGGUGUAGACGGCUUUCUGGACCAUUACUGACACUGAGACACGAAAGCGUGGGUAGCAAACAGGAUUAGAUACCCUGGUAGUCCACGCCCUAAACGAUGCAUACUUGGUGUGAGCCAUUCAGUUGGUUCGUGCCGGAGCUAACGCGUUAAGUAUGCCGCCUGGGGAGUACGGUCGCAAGGCUGAA
rnacentral:rRNA from 1 species